GAUGAACGCUGGCGGCGUGCCUAAUACAUGCAAGUCGAGCGAACAGACGAGGAGCUUGCUCCUCUGAUGUUAGCGGCGGACGGGUGAGUAACACGUGGAUAACCCACCUAUAAGACUGGGAUAACUUCGGGAAACCGGAGCUAAUACCGGAUAACAUGUUGAACCGCAUGGUUCAACAGUGAAAGACGGUCUUGCUGUCACUUAUAGAUGGAUCCGCGCCGCAUUAGCUAGUUGGUAAGGUAACGGCUUACCAAGGCAACGAUGCGUAGCCGACCUGAGAGGGUGAUCGGCCACACUGGAACUGAGACACGGUCCAGACUCCUACGGGAGGCAGCAGUAGGGAAUCUUCCGCAAUGGGCGAAAGCCUGACGGAGCAACGCCGCGUGAGUGAAGAAGGUCUUCGGAUCGUAAAACUCUGUUAUUAGGGAAGAACAAAUGUGUAAGUAACUAUGCACGUCUUGACGGUACCUAAUCAGAAAGCCACGGCUAACUACGUG
rnacentral:rRNA from 1 species